rnacentral:snRNA from 14 species
AUACUUGCCUGACAAGGGAGACGGCAUGAUCAGGAAGAUGAUUUUUCUCAUGGUGUUUCAUCUGUUACCGUGUGGGUGUGCAUGACCCUUGAGGUUUACCUAGAAGUAGGAAACAUGACUGCAUAAUUCUGGAGUGGGGAGUGCGUUCACACUCCCCUG